GAGCCCAGGUCAGCAGAUUCUACUGAGGCCUGAAGUGCUGGGGCAGCAGUCUGCCUUCCCCUGAGCCUGCGGCCUUGUCAGACUCCCUACAGACGCCUACCUGGACUAGCCACUCUCCUGCAGCGAGAACCGAUGUAACCCUGAGGGAGCCAGGUGACUUCCCCGUUAAAGGUGCAGUGGUCGCGGAUCAUGUCUUCAGGCGAGUUCGGCCUGGCGGAGAACACGAAACCCGAAGACGCCAGUCGCAGGGCUCCUGCAAGGUCCCCGUGUCCCCUGGUCUUCUGGGAUCCCAACCCCAACCCAUCAUCGCCGCAGAGUUUGGGAGAGGGGGAGGCAGCCACAGGUGGGGGCGCUCACCUGCUCAAGAUCGGGGCUCCCCGCGCCCACUGGGGACGAAGUGCCGGAGCUGGCCAUACGGUGGGGUCCCGCGCGCUCCUCCUUCCAGGAACUCGGCUCUGCGCCCGGGUCGGCGUCUCCUCAACCCGGGAUCCGGGGACUGCACCCCCAGGAGGGAAGUUGGGGGGGAAAGUUGGGCCACGGCUCGGGAACGCGCAGCGCCGCCCCGCGCCG
ensembl:lncRNA LOC120099015 uncharacterized LOC120099015